rnacentral:rRNA from 1 species
GGCUGAAAUUCGCCUUCAUGAAGCCGGAAUUGCUAGUAAUGGCAGGUCAGCAUACUGCCGUGAAUACGUUCCCGGGCCUUGUACACACCGCCCGUCACACCAUGAGAGUUGGGAAUACCCGAAGCCUGUAAGCUAACUUUUAGAGGCAGCAGUCGAAGGUAGAAUCAAUGAUUGGGGUGAAGUCGUAACAAGGUAAC